CUGUGGAUCAAAUCUUGUUUUAUUAACAGUAUUAUAGCACAACUGUAAUGCUAAAUUAGACUAAACGUCGCCCAAUACUGUGUGGUUUCGUAAAGAAAAAAGUUCAAAUGCGGGACAAACUAAGGAUGUGGUAUUUCAAGGGAUGUAGAGACAAAACCCACCUUUGCACAGCCCUCACAGACCACCACCCUCAGCCUCUGAGGCGAUGGAUAAAGUAAAAACAACUUUCACAUCCCUAAGGUGUUUGAGCCGCCUCUCCCUUUCCCCACCUGCCCUAGAUUUUGGGUAUUUCAGUGCGAAAGGAAACUCCGUCGAAACCCUGCUCUGGGGUUUCCGCUCGUCCUGCCCCCGCCGUGCUCUCUUGGUAGUUCCGGAGCAUUUCUUCUUCCAGGCUUGAAUAUCCUCUGGAGCACCGGAGGGACUUAGCUCAGCUCACCAAGCUCACUUUGCUGCACUGCUUCCCAUCAUGACGUCUGCUCUCCAGCGCUGCUUUCCUGAUCCAGAGUCCUGUUCCUAAAGCAGACAAGGAGCUGAGUGUAACCCCCAGGUGUGUGCACAGGGCCCUGCUCGUGAGGAAGAGUUCCCUGGUCUGUUGGUGAGCCCCAGCUGCCUUCCUGCAGUGAGGAUCAAGUAGUGCCAGAAUGUGUUACUUCAGGGAAGAGAAGGAGGUGACUCCAGGAGUGAGUUGCCAUCAUGGUGAGUCCCAUGAGGUGGCCGCAGUGUCACUGGGUCCUCAGGCUGUGCUGAUCAGCAGCGUGGGCUUAGUGGAGUGUGAAUUUCAUAAGGGCCUUAAGGUGAAGCAGGGCAGGGCUGGAUGGGAUCUUGGCAAUGAGGAAUUGUUCCCUGGCAGGGUGGGCAGAGCCUGGCACAGGGUGCCCAGAGCAGCUGGGGCUGCCC